UUAAAUUUUUGAAGUUAUCUUGGCUUUUUUGUUGGGUGAAAUCAGUAUAAAGAGUUUCUCUUUCUUUUAAAAUUAAUAGGAAUUAAAAAACUUUGAUUUAAAACCAGGAUUAGAUACCCUGUUAUUCUAAGUUAUAUUUAGACAGGGUAGUAAAAGUUGUUCUUCAAACCCAAAGAUUUUGGCGGCACUUUAUCCAAAUAGAGGAGCUUGUCCCUUAAUCGAUAGUCCCCGUUUUAUCUUUCCUCUGUUUGUAGAGCUUGUAUACCGCCGUUGUCAGAUCACUUUUAGAGAAUGUUUUCAAGUUAAAAGACUUUUCUACUUCAGGUCAAGGUGCAGUUUAUAUAGAGGUGGAGGUGAGCUACAAUUUUCUUUAGAAAUACGGAUUUCAAGCCUCGAAGCUGGUUGAAGGUGGAUUUAUUAGUAAAGUAA
rnacentral:rRNA from 1 species